GGGCUGGCUCAGUGGUAAGAGCACUUGCUGCCCUUGCAAAAGACCUGGGUUUGAGUCCCAGUACCCA
rnacentral:tRNA from 1 species